rnacentral:rRNA from 1 species
AUUGAACGCUGGCGGCAUGCCUUACACAUGCAAGUCGAACGGCAGCACGGGAGCAAUCCUGGUGGCGAGUGGCGAACGGGUGAGUAAUAUAUCGGAACGUGCCCAGUCGUGGGGGAUAACGUAGCGAAAGCUACGCUAAUACCGCAUACGAUCUACGGAUGAAAGCGGGGGAUCGCAAGACCUCGCGCGAUUGGAGCGGCCGAUAUCAGAUUAGCUAGUUGGUGGGGUAAAAGCUCACCAAGGCGACGAUCUGUAGCUGGUCUGAGAGGACGACCAGCCACACUGGAACUGAGACACGGUCCAGACUCCUACGGGAGGCAGCAGUGGGGAAUUUUGGACAAUGGGCGCAAGCCUGAUCCAGCAAUGCCGCGUGCAGGAUGAAGGCCUUCGGUUGUAAACUGCUUUGUACGGUAACGAAACGGUAGAGCUCUAAUAAAGCUUGCUAAUGACGGUACCGUAAGAAUAAGCACCGGCUAACUACGUGCCG